rnacentral:misc_RNA from 1 species
CGUGCUUGGUGUUGGACGGCUUGGUCGCGUCACCGCGACCCCUCCUAAAGACAAUGACGGCGGCCUGCUGGUUCCCCCGGUACACUGAGCUUUUAACUGAGCACGUAUUGGACAAGCACCCGGGACCCGGUCUUCUCCCUUCACCGGGAAAUUUUUCAAUGGUUGACCUCGGAUCAGGUAGGAAUACGCGCUGAACUUAA